rnacentral:lncRNA from 1 species
AACAUAUAAAUGCUGUGGAUAAAUGCUAUGGAUAAUAGAGCAUCUAUUAAGUGCAAAAAUAACAUAUACAACUGUUAAGAGUGUUCACAACCAUAAACAUCUUAAGAGUGUUCUAUUACCCUUUACAACUAUUCUAUUAUGGCAUAAAAGUAUUCUAAAUCCUAAAAGAGUGUUCACAACCAUAAACCUAUUAAGAGUGUUAUAUUAACCUUUACAACUGUUCUAUUAUGGCAUCAAAGUGUUCACAAUCCUGCCAGCUGAUAGGAGUGUUCUAUUAUGCCCUAGGAAUGUUAUAUUAUACCAUAAGAAGGUACGAUUACAACUCAUAUAUGUUCGGAAGCAUAAAAAAGGAACAUUUCUAAACCCUAAACCCUAAUCCCUCAUUCCUAUCACCUGGAUUGUGAACACUCCUAUCAACUGGCCUAAUAGAACAUUCUAAACCACAAACUUGCAUAAUAGAAUUCACAUACACUAUUAUGACAUAAUAGAACAAUCUUAUCUUAAUACAAUUUUUGUUUGGUUGAAUGCGAACAUAUAAAUGCUGUGGAUAAAUGCUGUGGAUAAUAGAGCAUCUAUUAAGUAUUCUAAAAGUAUUCUAAAUCCUAAAAGAGUAUUCACAACCAUAAACCUAUUAAGAGUGUUCUAUUAACCUUUACAACUACUCUAUUAUGGCAUAAAAGUGUUCACAAUCCUGGCAGCUGAUAGGAGUGUUCUAUUAUUCUCUAAAAUUAUUCUAUUAUGCCAUAAGAGGGUACGAUUGCAACUCAUACAUAUUCGGAAGCAUAAAAAUGAUAAGAUUGUUCUAUUAAGCUCUAAGAGAGUUCUAAGUCGAAAUCCUAAAAAAGUGUUCACAACCAUAAACCUAUUAAGAGUGUUCUAUUAACCUUUACAACUGUUCUAUUAUGGCAUACAAGUGUUCAAAAUCCUGCCAGCUGAUAGGA